AUUGGACUACCAUGGCAGGUCACGGGUAACGGGGAAUUAGGGUUCGAUUCCGGAGAGGGAGCCUGAGAAACGGCUACCACAUCUAAGGAAGGCAGCAGGCGCGUAAAUUACCCAAUCCUGAUUCAGGGAGGUAGUGACAAGAAAUAACAACCUGGAGUCUCACGACUUGCGGGGAUUGCAAUGAGAACAAUUUAAAACCUCUUAACAAGGAACAAUUGGAGGGCAAGUCUGGUGCCAGCAGCCGCGGUAAUUCCAGCUCCAAUAGCGUAUAUUAAAGUUGUUGCAGUUAAAAAGCUCGUAGUUGAACUUCUGGGCGUUCGGAGCGGGGUCAAACCAGCUCAUGGGCGUUCAUCCGUCUGAGAACCAUAUUCGAUCUUCACUGGUCGGUAUGGGAAUCAGGCACUUUUACUUUUGAAAAAAUUAGAGUGUUCCAGGCAGACAUUUGUCUUGAAUACACAAGCAUGGAAUAAUGGAAUAGGACUAACUAUCCAUUUUAUUUGGUAUAUUGGAGUUAGUAAUAGAGUUAACUAGGGACGAGGUUGGGGGUC
rnacentral:rRNA from 1 species